UACAGAGGGUGCAAGCGUUAAUCGGAAUUACUGGGCGUAAAGCGUGCGUAGACGGUUGCAUAAGUCGGGUGUGAAAGCCCCGGGCUCAACCUGGGAAUUGCAUUCGAGACUGCGUAGCUAGGGUGCGGAAGAGGGAAGCGGAAUUUCCGGUGUAGCGGUGAAAUGCGUAGAUAUCGGAAGGAACACCAGUGGCGAAAGCGGCUUCCUGGUCCAGCACCGACGUUCAGGCACGAAAGCGUGGGGAGCAAACAGG
rnacentral:rRNA from 1 species